rnacentral:rRNA from 1 species
UACAGAGGUCCCAAGCGUUGUUCGGAUUCACUGGGCGUAAAGGGUGCGUAGGUGGUCGGGUAAGUCUGAUGUGAAAUCUCCGAGCUUAACUCGGAAAUGGCAUUGGAUACUAUUCGGCUGGAGGGUUGGAGGGGGGACUGGAAUUCUCGGUGUAGCAGUGAAAUGCGUAGAUAUCUGGAGGAACACCGGUGGCGAAGGCGGCGUCCUGGACCAACACUGACACUGAUGAGCGAAAGCCAGGGGAGCAAACGGG